AGGGUUUGAUCAUGGCUCAGAUUGAACGCUGGCGGUAGGCUUAACACAUGCAAGUCGUGCGAGAAAGUAUCUUCGGAUAUGAGUAGAGCGGCGGACGGGUGAGUAACGCGUAGGAAUCUACCUAGUAGAAGGGGAUAGCCCGGGGAAACCCGGAUUAAUACCGUAUACCUCCUUCGGGAGAAAGAAGGCCUCUCUUUGAAGCUUUCGCUACUAGAUGAGCCUGCGUAAGAUUAGCUAGUUGGUGAGGUAAUGGCUCACCAAGGCUACGAUCUUUAGCUGGUCUGAGAGGACGAUCAGCCACAUUGGGACUGAGACACGGCCCAGACUCCUACGGGAGGCAGCAGUGGGGAAUAUUGGACAAUGGGCGCAAGCCUGAUCCAGCCAUACCGCGUGUGUGAAGAAGGCCUUCGGGUUGUAAAGCACUUUAAGCAGGGAGAAAAAGUUAUAGGUUAAUACCCUAUGACCUUGAUGUUACCUGCAGAAUAAGCACCGGCUAAUUCCGUGCCAGCCGCCGCGGUAAUAC
rnacentral:rRNA from 1 species